GACAGAAGGUGCAAGCGUUACUCGGAAUUACUGGGCGUAAAGCGUCCGUAGCCGAUCUUUCAAGUCUGGUGUUAAAAUGCGGAGCUCAACUCCGUACCGUGCCGGAAACUGUUAGAAUAGAGUCAUACAGAGGCAACUGGAAUUCCGUGUGUAGGGGUAAAAUCCGUUGAUCCACGGAGGAACGCCUAAAGCGAAAGCAGGUUGCUGGGUAUGUACUGACGGUCAGGGACGAAAGCGUGGGGAGCAAACGGG
rnacentral:ncRNA from 2 species